AGCAAUACAGCAGUGGCAGACGGGUGAGUAACACGUGGGAACCUUCCUAGGGGUACGGAACAGCUCAGGGAAACUUGAGCUAAUACCGUAUACGUCCGUGAGGAGAAAGAUUUAUCGCCCUUAGACGGGCCCGCGUCGGAUUAGGUAGCUGGUGGGGUAACGGCCUACCAAGCCUACGAUCCGUAGCUGAUCUGAGAGGAUGAUCAGCCACACUGGGACUGAGACACGGCCCAGACUCCUACGGGAGGCAGCAGUGGGGAAUCUUGGACAAUGGACGCAAGCCUGAUCCAGCCAUGCCGAGUGAGUGAAGAAGGCCUUAGGG
rnacentral:rRNA from 1 species